rfam:Schistosoma rodhaini strain Burundi genome assembly, scaffold: SROB_scaffold0003668
GUAUUCGCUUCGGUGGUACAUGUACCAAAAUUGGAACGAUACAUAUGAUAUUAGCAUGGCCCCUGCGCAAGUAUGACACACAAAACCGCAAAGUGUUCUAUAUUUUG